GGGAGGGGCGGGGUGCUACCAUGCAGUCGACGGUGAAGGUGGAGCUUGCUCUGCUGGAUCAGUGGCGAACGGGUGAGUAACACGUGAGCAAUCUGCCCCUGACUCUGGGAUAAGCGCUGGAAACGGCGUCUAAUACUGGAUACGAACCACGGAGGCAUCUUCGGUGGUUGGAAAGAUUUUUCGGUCUGGGAUGAGCUCGCGGCCUAUCAGCUUGUUGGUGAGGUAAUGGCUCACCAAGGCGUCGACGGGUAGCCGGCCUGAGAGGGUGACCGGCCACACUGGGACUGAGACACGGCCCAGACUCCUACGGGAGGCAGCAGUGGGGAAUAUUGCACAAUGGGCGCAAGCCUGAUGCAGCAACGCCGCGUGAGGGAUGACGGCCUUCGGGUUGUAAACCUCUUUUAGCAGGGAAGAAGCGAAAGUGACGGUACCUGCAGAAAAAGCGCCGGCUAACUACGUGCCAGCAGCCGCGGUAAUACGUAGGGCGCAAGCGUUAUCCGGAAUUAUUGGGCGUAAAGAGCUCGUAGGCGGUUUGUCGCGUCUGCUGUGAAAUCCCGAGGCUCAACCUCGGGCCUGCAGUGGGUACGGGCAGACUAGAGUGCGGUAGGGGAGAUUGGAAUUCCUGGUGUAGCGGUGGAAUGCGCAGAUAUCAGGAGGAACACCGAUGGCGAAGGCAGAUCUCUGGGCCGUAACUGACGCUGAGGAGCGAAAGGGUGGGGAGCAAACAGGCUUAGAUACCCUGGUAGUCCACCCCGUAAACGUUGGGAACUAGUUGUGGGGUCCAUUCCACGGAUUCCGUGACGCAGCUAACGCAUUAAGUUCUCCGCCUGGGGAGUACGGCCGCAAGGCUAAAACUCAAAGGAAUUGACGGGGACCCGCACAAGCGGCGGAGCAUGCGGAUUAAUUCUAUGCUACGCGAAGAACCUUACCAAGGCUUGACAUACACGAGAACGCU
rnacentral:rRNA from 1 species